GGUGUCAUUGUCAGAUUUCGUGAUCUUGUUACUUUUCUUUAUGGAUCUAAGUAGAUUUCACGUUAUUUAAAAUGUAUUUUUUUAAAAGCCGUAUCAUAGUAAUUGUUGUCAUAUCUAUAUACGUGCUUUCUCACGAUAUUUCGCUCUUUUGCGGAGUUUCAGCAAAAUCUUGCUUACCUCAAGGCCUGCAAAUAAAGAUUUUGGAUUCAUCUCCGGUUUCAGCUAACGCCACCGCAUCGGUUCUUUUGCGGGGCCAGCACGGGAUAUUCGCUUGUACGGCGAUAUCGCAAGAAGCACCGCAAAGCCGAAUAGUAUGCCGUUCACUUCACCUAACGCCUUCUGUACCUGCUCAUAAUCACAAAGACGGCAUAGUUUGGGAUGUUAGCACAAUCAAUGGUCGGAUAACCGAUUUCCAGGUUACCAGUCGGAACGUGUCAGACUUGAUAAUUGCCGUCGUGCAGGACCAACCAGCAGUCCUGCUUUCCGCCAGCGCAGUUAGUCCCACG